AUGCCGGCGCAGUUCCUCAAGAUUGGAUGUGUGCACUCGCUGGUGAUGACAGCCAUCUUGGACGCCUUCUUCAAGGACCUCGUCUUGCUUAAGGCAAUGAUUGAUCGUCCGACUUACUCUGGUUGUGGCAUAGCAUGCACUCUAGGUGUUUGUUCAUUUGUUUGUGCUGCCUUUGAUAGGUUCCUUGCCCGUCGAUUUUUUUUCUCUGCCGAGAAGUGCAUAUUGUUGAUUGGUCCAGCUUAUAAAGAGGGGUACCAGCUUCCCGAGUCUCUUACUCGUACUAGCAUUUGUUUCUUUGUCAAGUUGUUAGCUUUGAGAUGCACUGUGCAGAUACAUAUACUUGUAUUUUUUUUAUUGAAAGGAUACAUAUACUCCUACUUGUCUUUGUAA
rnacentral:rRNA from 1 species